UACGUAGGGGGCGAGCGUUAAUCGGAAUUAUUGGGCGUAAAGCGUGCGCAGGCGGUUUUGUAAGUCGGAUGUGAAAUCCCCGGGCUUAACCUGGGAAUGGCAUUCGGGACUGCAAGGCUGGAGUGCGGCAGAGGAGACUGGAAUUCCUGGUGUAGCAGUGAAAUGCGUAGAUAUCAGGAGGAACACCGAUGGCGAAGGCAGGUCUCUGGGCUGACACUGACGCUCAUGCACGAAAGCGUGGGGAGCAAACAGG
rnacentral:rRNA from 1 species